rnacentral:rRNA from 1 species
AGUGAACGCUGGCGGUAGGCCUAACACAUGCAAGUCGAACGGCAGCACAGUAAGAGCUUGCUCUUACGGGUGGCGAGUGGCGGACGGGUGAGGAAUACAUCGGAAUCUACUUUUUCGUGGGGGAUAACGUAGGGAAACUUACGCUAAUACCGCAUACGACCUACGGGUGAAAGCAGGGGAUCUUCGGACCUUGCGCGAUUGAAUGAGCCGAUGUCGGAUUAGCUAGUUGGCGGGGUAAAGGCCCACCAAGGCGACGAUCCGUAGCUGGUCUGAGAGGAUGAUCAGUCACACUGGAACUGAGACACGGUCCAGACUCCUACGGGAGGCAGCAGUGGGGAAUAUUGGACAAUGGGCGCAAGCCUGAUCCAGCCAUACCGCGUGGGUGAAGAAGGCCUUCGGGUUGUAAAGCCCUUUUGUUGGGAAAGAAAAGCAGCAGGUUAAUACCCCGCUGUUCUGACGGUACCCAAAGGAUAAGCACCGGCUAACUUCGUG